AGUUUCGUGUCACACCCAGUUGCCGAGAACGACGUCCAAGGUUAUUUUAUAUAUGAUCCAUAUGGAAGGGAGCACCACGUGUCAGAUGUAUAUCCGCAUUAAAAGGAAAAGAAGAGAAGAAAAGAUAAAAAAAAAAAAAAAAAAAAAAAGAAAAAUCUAUUACGUGUAAAUAGCAUUUGAAAUUCCGACCAUUCCUCGCUUCAUUCAUUUUAAGAUUCUAUCCCUCGUACUAAUUACGAAUUCGAGUAUCUUUUGAAAAAAAA